rnacentral:rRNA from 1 species
GCGGACGGGUGAGUAAUGCUUGGGAACUUGCCUUUGCGAGGGGGAUAACAGUUGGAAACGACUGCUAAUACCGCAUAAUGUCUUCGGACCAAACGGGGCUUCGGCUCCGGCGCAAAGAGAGGCCCAAGUGAGAUUAGCUAGUUGGUAAGGUAACGGCUUACCAAGGCGACGAUCUCUAGCUGUUCUGAGAGGAAGAUCAGCCACACUGGGAGUGAGACACGGCCCAGACUCCUACGGGAGGCAGCAGUGGGGAAUAUUGCACAAUGGGGGAAAGCCUGGUGCAGCCAUGCCGCGUGUGUGAAGGACGCACGUGGGUUGUAAAGCAGUUU